CCAAUGCCUUCAAAGAAUUGAUGGAAGCUAAGGGCACCAACAAGAGGCCUGAUGGUGUUUGGCCUCACAGAUGCACCUAAGGACACCCCAAUUAUCACUGAAUGCACCAAGAUUCCAAGCUCAAGGACCUGCAUGGCUGGAGAGGGACUUUAUGCUCUGAAGCACAAGUUAACACCCACUUUUUAGUACUAUUUGCAAGGGAGGUUCAUGGACAUCAAGGGACUGCACUUGCCUGAGAUACCACCCUGUGCCGGAUUGUGUCAGCUAUUGAAGCCUCCUCUGGUGAAUUGAUGCCAUCUGCCUCUCCGUGUGAAUGGCCA